CCGCACUAGUUGGGGAGAUAGCGGUGCCCUGUACCCGCAAUCCGCUACAGCGGGAAUGAAUCCCGGCCCCCGGACGUGUGGAUGUACUGUCCGCCCUGGAAAAGCAGUGAUGAUAGACCGGUCCCGCGCAACGCGGCCCCGUGAACCGUGUCAGGCGGGGAACCGAGCAGCACUAAGCGGUCUGCCGUGUGUGCCGCGGGGAUACUGUUCUUGAGCCGGCUGUCCAGGUAACGGGUAUGUCCCGCGCUUCAAAGGCCGGUGUGCGG
rnacentral:SRP_RNA from 1 species